AGUGAACGCUGGCGGUAGGCCUAACACAUGCAAGUCGAACGGCAGCACAGUAAGAGCUUGCUCUUACGGGUGGCGAGUGGCGGACGGGUGAGGAAUACAUCGGAAUCUACUUUUUCGUGGGGGAUAACGUAGGGAAACUUACGCUAAUACCGCAUACGACCUACGGGUGAAAGCAGGGGAUCUUCGGACCUUGCGCGAUUGAAUGAGCCGAUGUUGGAUUAGCUAGUUGGCGGGGUAAAGGCCCACCAAGGCGACGAUCCGUAGCUGGUCUGAGAGGAUGAUCAGCCACACGGGAACUGAGACACGGUCCAGACUCCUGCGGGAGGCAGCAGUGGGGAAUAUUGGACAAUGGGCGCAAGCCUGAUCCAGCCAUACCGCGUGGGUGAAGAAGGCCUUCGGGUUGUAAAGCCCUUUUGUUGGGAAAGAAAAGCAGCAGGUUAAUACCCCGCUGUUCUGACGGUACCCAAAGAAUAAGCACCGGCUAACUUCGUG
rnacentral:rRNA from 1 species